GACGAACGCUGGCGGCGUGCUUAACACAUGCAAGUCGAACGGACAGGCCCUGCUUUUGUGGGGUGCUCGAGUGGCGAACGGGUGAGUAACACGUGAGUAACCUGCCCUUGACUUUGGGAUAACUUCAGGAAACUGGGGCUAAUACCGGAUAGGAGCUCCUGCUGCAUGGUGGGGGUUGGAAAGUUUCGGCGGUUGGGGAUGGACUCGCGGCUUAUCAGCUUGUUGGUGGGGUAGGGGCUUACCAAGGCUUUGACGGGUAGCCGGCCUGAGCGGGUGGACGGACAGAUCGGGACUGAGCGACGGGCAGCAGUAGUAAGGCAGGCAGCAGGGGCGAAUGUUGGACGAUGGGCGGAAGCCUGAUGCAGGAACGCCGCGUGAGGGAAGACGGCUGUCGGGUUGUAAAACGAAUUCGGCUGGGAAGUAGCGUGAGUGACGGGAAUGGGUAAAGAAGCACCGGCUAACUACGUG
rnacentral:rRNA from 1 species